UACGUAGGGACCAAGCGUUGUUCGGAUUUACUGGGCGUAAAGGGCGCGUAGGCGGCGUGGUAAGUCAGUUGUGAAAUCUCCGAGCUUAACUCGGAACGGCCAACUGAUACUGCUGUGCUAGAGUGCAGAAGGGGCAAUCAGAAUUCUUGGUGUAGCGGUGAAAUGCGUAGAUAUCAAGAGGAAUACCUGAGGUGAAGACGGGUUGCUAGGCUGACACUGACGCUGAGGCGCGAAAGCCAGGGGAGCAAACGGG
rnacentral:rRNA from 2 species